GAGUUUGAUCCUGGCUCAGGAUGAACGCUAGCGGCAGGCCUAAUACAUGCAAGUCGAGGGGCAACAGGAGUAGCAAUACUUGCUGGCGACCGGCGCACGGGUGCGUAACACGUAUAUAAUCUGCCUUUAACAGGGGGAUAGCCCGGAGAAAUCCGGAUUAAUAGCCCAUAAUAGAUUUUCUGGCAUCAGGAGAUUUUGAAAGUUCCGACGGUUAAAGAUGAGUAUGCGUCUGAUUAGCUAGUUGGUGAGGUAACGGCUCACCAAGGCGACGAUCAGUAGGGGAUCUGAGAGGACUACCCCCACAC
rnacentral:rRNA from 1 species